GUGGCAGCAAUGCCCAGCAGUGCAGCUGGGAAGACCCCAGGGAAUUGUGACUGAAAGGGUCCCCAGCAUACCACUGAAGCACACAUUGUGAGGAGAGAGCACAGAUCUGGAGCUGUGUGUGCAGAGCUGUGAUCCUAAUCGUGGAGAGAACCUGAAGAGUCCCAGGAAAAGGCAGGUAAGGCAUAAACAAUGGCAUCCUGAGCAUCAAAAGCUAAAGAAAUGAAGACAACUGGCUGGUGGGCUGACUUCAUCUGGAGGUGAGCAACAAAGGAGAAUGCUGGAAUGAUUGGCCUGACUGAGAAAUGCACAGUAAAAGUGUCAGUGCUUAUAAAGACCUUCAAUUCCCACUGUCAAGUGCAACUUUUGGUGAAUUUUAAAAUAGAUGGUACUUCUGAAAUUAUGAGUUUUGUGACUUUAUAAAUUUCUGAAAUCUCCCCACUGCUUUUAUGAUGUAGCAGUCUCUCAAUAAUUAAGGUAGUAGUCAGCUUCUCUUUAUGAACUAUUUUUCCCUUUUCUCCCCUUGAUAUAUUGUGCUCAGAAAUGGUUCUGCCAGCUUCAGCUGUAAAUCUCAAGUUGAUGACAAUGGAAGUGAUUUUAUGAAACAAAUGGCAGUGUGAAAGAUAUGAUAUUGACCAUAAAAAUGCCCACAUUGUGCUUAGAGUUCAAAUGUAACUUAGCGGAUGUAGAAAGAAGGAGUGGACAAAGUCAUAUGAUAUCAUUAUGGGGGGUUUUUUUUGUCUUAUUGGAAUGUGCAAAAAUAGUGGUAGGUCUGUGGCAAAUAUAAGAAGCUGUUGAAAGAAAAUAUCUUUCAGCUAAAAAAGCUAGGCAAUAUCAGAAGACUUGAAUAUUUGAAAUUUUGUUUUUCUCUGAUAGCUGGGCUUAAUUGUAUCUUUGGCUGGGUAGCUGUUGGAAUCCUAAGGUGCUUAAUGAAGAAGAUUCAGUCACAAGGGAGGCUGUUCAUCAUAAACAAUAAGAGGGCUGUUAUGGUCAUAAAGCUAAAAAUGGCUAGUGACUUUUCUAGUCUUUUUGUCCUCCUUGUCAUCCUCAUUUACCCAUUAAAUUCUAAUAGAAGCCUUUCUCUUUAGUCUCUUUGCUGUUAUGUGUGAUCUCAUUCCUUGAACUUUCCCAGAAAAGAACCAUAGUUCAGUUCCUAAUUGGUAAUGAGGAGUGGAGAGGAAUGUGUUCUGUUUGUCGCUGGAACAAAGCACGUUAAGGAGCUCUGGCCUAGGCAGAAGUAAAGAAACUGGAAGAGGUUCCAGCACUCUGUAGAAGCCCACAGUAAAGUCCCUUGUGCCACUGACUGUUUUGGAGAGCUGCAGCACUUGAGAGGCUGUGAAGAGAUUGGGCAGCAUCCAACUGAUAAGUGGGAUCAAGCUAAUAUACAAGGGGUUCUUGAAACCUGAAGUUUUACUUCCCUGGAAAGAGCCAGGGGUUACAGAUGGAGAAUGUCCACAUCCAGCUUCAGAGGUGAGCUAAUGUCCCCAAACUAUAAAUUUGCAAGAAAUGGUGUAUUCUUCAGUGGCAAGAGCACAGACCUCUCUAUAAUAUUGCCUGUCUUCCAGUCUGAACAAUAUUGAAGCACAGGGGAGACUUCCUGUUUGCCUUGAGAGCUCUGAGAAGUGUACUGAAUUUGUGGCUGUGGACAAAGAAUUUAGAGAUGUUGACUUGUCUGCUUCAGUUGAAAUAUUGUUUUGUGUUGUCCCAUUUCUUGCUGUCUUCUUCCUCAUAAGCUUCCUAUUGAAGUUCUGCUUUGUUUACAUUCAUCUGUUGGAUUCUCUGUAGGUAGGUAGAUAAAUAUUGCUGGUAAGUCCUACCCUGGCUGCAUGUCUAGGUUGCCAGCUUUCUAGACCAGAAGAAACUUGAGACUGUGCUUGUCAGUGAAAACAUCUAGAAAAUGCAUUUUUGUAAUGAAAAGACAUAUGAUUUACUGAUAAUAUUUCUUUGCAGUCUUUGCUGGAAGAUGGGUUAAGGUAAACGGUAAAAAUAAGUUGUGCAGAAUCUAAUUAGAGCAUUUUUAUCUUGUCCAGAAUUUGUGUAUUGUCAAGGCUUUCUCUAAUAUCAACUUUCUUUUUGAAUAGUGUAUUUGACUUUCUUUUGAAAUAGUAAUUAAAGGUUGUUUUUCAUUAUAA